UACGUAGGCAGCAAGCGUUGUUCGGAGUUACUGGGCGUAAAGGGUGUGUAGGCGGUUGCUUAAGUUUGGUGUGAAAUCUCCCGGCUCAACUGGGAGGGUGCGCCGAAUACUGAGUGACUCGAGUGCGGGAGAGGAAAGUGGAAUCCUGGUGUAGAGGUGAAAUUCGUAGAUAUUGGGAAGAACACCGGUGGCGAAGGCGGCUCACUGGCUCGUAACUGACGCUCAUGCACGACAGCGUGGGGAUCAAACAGG
rnacentral:rRNA from 1 species